rnacentral:rRNA from 1 species
GCUGAAAGCAUCUAAGCGGGAAACUUGCCUCAAGAUGAGAUCUCACUGGAGCCUUGAGCUCCCUGAAGGGCCGUCGAAGACUACGACGUUGAUAGGUUGGGUGUGUAAGCGCUGUGAGGCGUUGAGCUAACCAAUACUAAUUGCCCGUGAGGCUUGACCAUAUAACACCCAAACAAUU